rnacentral:rRNA from 1 species
GACGAACGCUGGCGGCGUGCUUAACACAUGCAAGUCGAACGGAAAGGCCCUUCGGGGUACUCGAGUGGCGAACGGGUGAGUAACACGUGGGUGAUCUGCCCUGCACUUUGGGAUAAGCCUGGGAAACUGGGUCUAAUACCGAAUAGGACCACGCGCUCCAUGGUGUGUGGUGGAAAGCUUUUGCGGUGGGGGAUGGGCCCGCGGCCUAUCAGCUUGUUGGUGGGGUAAUGGCCUACCAAGGCGACGACGGGUAGCCGGCCUGAGAGGGUGACCGGCCACACUGGGACUGAGAUACGGCCCAGACUCCUACGGGAGGCAGCAGUGGGGAAUAUUGCACAAUGGGCGGAAGCCUGAUGCAGCGACGCCGCGUGAGGGAUGACGGCCUUCGGGUUGUAAACCUCUUUCAAUAGGGACGAAGCGCAAGUGACGGUACCUAUAGAAGAAGCACCGGCCAACUACGUG